UACAGAGGGUGCGAGCGUUGUUCGGAAUUAUUGGGCGUAAAGCGCUUGUAGGCGGCACGUCAAGUCGCGUGUGAAAUCCCUCGGCUCAACCGAGGAACUGCGCCCAAAACUGUCGUGCUCGAGGGAGACAGAGGUGAGCGGAACUUAGGGUGGAGCGGUGAAAUGCGUUGAUAUCCUAAGGAACACCGGUGGCGAAAGCGGCUCACUGGGUCUCUUCUGACGCUGAGGCACGAAAGCGUGGGGAGCGAACAGG
rnacentral:rRNA from 1 species